UUUACCAUAUGGGCCAGGAUGGUCUCGAUCUCUUGACCUUGUGAUCUGCCCGCCUCGGCCUCCCAAAGUGCUGGGAUUACAGGCUUGAGCCACCGCGCCCAACCUAUUCAGAAUUUUUAAAUGCUCAGAUCCCUCCCUUAAAUAAAGAUUACAAACCCAUCCUUGACCUCAAACAUUGUUCUGACCAUUUACUGUCUCUUCUCCCCCUCUUCAGGCAGCUUCAUUAGUUGUCCAAACUCUGUUUCUACUUCAUCACUGCUCAGCCCCCACUCUACACCCUGCAGCCUGGCUUCUGCCCCCACCAUUCCACUGAGAUUGGUCUCCCUGGAUUCAUCCACACAUCCUUGUGGUUAAGUGUAAUCAGCUGCUGGGGCAGCUAAUGCAUCAUGUGCCCAUGAACAGAGGGUAUCCAGGAUCUCCCAGCUCUCCAGCACUAUAGACAAUGACAGCAACAAGAAAACCCCAACGUCAGUCCAGCCCACAAACACCAUUACAUUUAGAGCUUCCCAAGCUGAAGCAGUGCCUAAGACUUUUUUGACACCUGUUAAAAUGUUACAGAAUCUAAAAACAUUAAUACAGGACUUUGCAGUGAAGAUGACAGGGUAAAGCAGGGAUCAUGGCUGGCUCUUGCGUCUGCUGCCCAUGACCUGCGCUGGGAGAUGAGUGUGCAGUGACUGAAAACCAGCAUGUUAGAGAAGUGAACGUGACCCAGACAGGCCCCCUCCACCUGGAGCACCUGUCCACGCUCAGGGCUUCCCUCUUUUCUGGAGGAAAAAGAAAAAAGAGAACCAGACUUAGACACAACUUCUUGUGGGCACAUAUUCAGAAGGCAUCUCGUUGGAGAGGGUUUAGUUCUCCUUAGCAGAAGAUAAGAUUUCAAGAUUUCAGCCAAGAUUCAUGUCUCUGAAAAUCUUUCUUUUGAGAGCAUCUUCACCAGGAGGAGAUUCCAACUCAAGAGACCACUUUCACUCAUCCGUAAGAAGCAACUCUUCACCUGUUCAGGUUUGAUCAUGAGAGUGCAGCAGUUCAGCCACAUCUUCAGGCUCCACUUCUAGUUCUAGUUCUCUUGCUAUUUCCACCCACCUGCAGUGACUUCCUCCACUGAAGAUGUGAACCCCUAAAAGUCAUCCAUGGGGGUUGGAAUCAAUGUCUUUCACAUUCCUGUUAAUGUUGGUAUUUUGACCUCCUCCUGUGAAUUACAAAUGUUCCUAAUGGCAUCUAGAAAAAUGAAUACUUUCCAGAAGCUUUUCUAUUUGCUUUGCUCAGAUCCAUCAAUAGAAUCACUCUCAGUGGCAGCUAUAUAAACUAGUUAAGGAUAUAUAUAUAUAUACUUCUUAAUAGCCCUAUGAAAUAUAUUUCUUAAUAAGACUUGAAAGCCUUGAUCCGUGGACUGUAGGAUGGUUGUUAGCAGGCAUGAAAACAAGAAGAAAAUUCUCAUACAUCUCCAACACAGCUCUUGAGUGACAUGGUGCAGAGCAGUAAUAUUUUGAAAGGAAUCUUUUUCUGAGCAACAGUUCUUAAUAGUGGGCUUCAAAUAUUCAGAAAACCAUGCUGCAAAUAGAUGUGUUAUCAUCCAGGCUUUAUGGUUCCAUUUAUGGAGCACAGAUAGAGUAGAUUUAGCAUAAUUUUUAAUGAUCCCAGGAUUUUCAAAAUAGUAAACGAACAUUUACUUCAACUUAAAGUCAUCAGAUGCAUUCACCCCUAAAAAGAGAGUCAGCCUGUCCCUUGAAGCUUUGUAGCUUGCACUGACAUCUCCUCCCUAGCACUGAAAGUAGUGGAUGGCAUCUUCUUCCAGCAUAAGGCUGUUUUGUCUACAUUGAAAAUCUGUUGUUUAGUGUAGAUACUUUCAUCAAUUAUCUUAUCUAGAUUUUCUGGAUAACUUGCCACAGUUUCUCCCUUAGCAUUUGCUGCUUUCAGCAUUUUUUAUGUUAUGGAGAUGUUGUCUUGCAUUAAACCUCACAAACCAAUCUCUGCUAACUUCAGACUUUUCUUCCACGGCUUCCUCAUCUCUCUCAGCCUUCAUAGCAUCGAAGAGAGUUAGUCUUGCUCUGGGUUUGGCUUUGGCUUAAGGGCAUGUUGUGGCUGGUUGGAUCUUUUCUCCAGACCACUCAAACUUUCUCCAUAUCAGCAAUAUGGCUGCUUUGUUUUCUCUUCAUUUGUGUGUUCCCUGGAGUAGAACUUAAGUAUUCUUUGAUAACUUUUCUUGUGCAUUCACAAUUUGGCUAACUGGCGCAAGAGGCUAGCUUUUGGCCUUUCUUGACUUUCAACCUGUCCUCUUUACUGAGCUUAAUCAUUUCUAGCUUUUGAUUUAACGUGUGAGCCGUGAGACUUUUCCUUUUAC